CACGGAGGGUGCGAGCGUUAAUCGGAAUUACUGGGCGUAAAGCGCGCGUAGGCGGUCUGAUCAGCCGGUUGUGAAAGCCCCGGGCUCAACCUGGGAACGGCAUCCGGAACUGUCAGGCUAGAGUGCAGGAGAGGAAGGUAGAAUUCCCGGUGUAGCGGUGAAAUGCGUAGAGAUCGGGAGGAAUACCAGUGGCGAAGGCGGCCUUCUGGACUGACACUGACGCUGAGGUGCGAAAGCGUGGGUAGCAAACAGGAUUAGAUACCCUGGUA
rnacentral:rRNA from 1 species